rnacentral:rRNA from 1 species
GUGGGAUACUACCCUAGCUGUGUUGGCUUUCUAACCCGCACCACUUAUCGUGGUGGGAGACAGUGUCAGGCGGGCAGUUUGACUGGGGCGGUCGCCUCCUAAAAGGUAACGGAGGCGCUCAAAGGUUUCCUCAGAAUGGUUGGAAAUCAUUCAUAGAGUGUAAAGGCAUAAGGGAGCUUGACUGCGAGACCUACAAGUCGAGCAGGGUCGAAAGACGGACUUAGUGAUCCGGUG